rnacentral:sRNA from 1 species
UGCACAUACAUACAAACACACAUCUCAAAGUAUUUAUCUAAAACUUGAAAAAGCAUAACCACCGUGACUGAAUCUAAAGCAAAACAAAACCAAUAAAAACUACUUAGCUGUUUUUUCUAAACUUCUAAUUUAACUCUCAUUUACAGAUGAAGGAAUUGAAGUCUAGCAGUGCUACAUGGAAUUUUUGAGCAUGGCACACAUACAAAUGUUCUCCAAAGCAAACCAAGAAAACAGAAAAUUGAUGGUUGGGGCCUGGGAUCAUGAUUCUACAGUAUAAUCUACUAUGCUGCCAUUUAAUAAGACAGGAGCAACUGCAGCAUCCUCAAAGAAACAAAAGUAUUCAAGAUCUCUCAUACAUUAAUUUGGGCACUAUUGAAAGGAGAAAAAAAGUGGACUUGGUGAACCAUUUGAUGCCAUGAACUGUAUAUGAUCAUAAACUCUGGCCUGUACCUAGCAAAGUAGAUAGUGCAAGAGAAAUGUCAAUAUUAAAUUCAGGCUCACAACAAAGGAGAAUGCUGACAGCAUGCAGCCUGAUGUGAGCACAGAGACACUUGAAAGUUUUUUGCUUCAUGAUAUGGACACUUUGAUUUUCUCUUCUCAUAGAACAGUCAUUUUCAAAGGUGGAACAAUGGACCAAGCAUAAGUGUUUUCCUUUCUGAUAGGGUGAAGGGAAGUCUGUGUCUAUCUCCAUGCCUCAAGCUCAUGCCUGUACUACUUCCUGCAGUUCAGGUGAAUGGUUUCUACAAGCAGCAAGAGUGAGUGUCAGAGCAGAAAAGGAAUGGGCAUUUUCUGUGAGGGUGAAUUAUAAGGAAUGAACUCAGGUCUUCAGUAAGAAGCUUUAGCAACUGAGCUAUCCCUGUCUUUCCCAUUUCUUGACAGGGUAAUCUGGAAAGGGAAUUGUUUCACAUUUCUCAUCUCUGCCAGAGGAUGGUGUGUGACCCUGGGAGGGGGUGUGCUACACACGUAUAUGACAGAUCACAGCAUCACAGUAGAUAUCCCUCCAACGUUACUCAAAAGUUCUGGAUUGCUGUUGUGUGUCAAGAUUUUACUGGGGAGAGGAUACACAUAUCUACUCACAGCUACUUUCCUCUGAUACGGAGCCCAGGAUGGACUAAAGUACAACUUGAUGAAACAGUCUCAUGUUUAAAAGAGUCCCUAUCUUGUGAUGGUAGCACUGUCUUCAAGGGGGAGAGGCAGGACAAAUACGGACAAGGACAAGUCAGGUCAUGGGCAUUUGAUUCAUGAGAACCUUACUCUCAGACCUCAGGGAUCUCAACAGGCUUCUCCAAGCAACAUUUCUGUUCAUGGGGACAAACCUCACAGAGCUGCCACACUCGAUGAAUUUUUAUCAAAUAGCACAUAAAUAAAUAACAAUCUGUGAGCCUGCAUAGCUCUCAGUGACUUGUGUGACCCUUAUUGCUCCCAUUUUACUUGACUCUCCUGAUGUCUUUCCCAAGGCACAGAAGGGGGAAGUGUCUUUGGACACCACAGGUACUAAGUGAUACGCCUGUUUGCCUAACCUCAAGUGACAAAGUGCUGGUCCUCAUAUAUCACAGACUUGCCCAGGGAGGAUUAGGUCACACUGGCCAGGGGUUUUGCUAAUAAGAUCAUGCAUAAUCAAUAAGGGUCAGCUGACAUCUUGUCAACUCCAUCACUGUCAAUGGGGCGGGGGGUGAGGUAAGGCAGUGACAAGGGUAAGCCUGUCAGACACCCAGAACAUGAACAGAUGGCCAGCAUUGGUUGCUGCCCUGCUAUGUAAAGCUGGCUCUUAGAGCAGAAUAGGUUCAUGCAUUCAUUCAUGGAUUCGAUCCUUUGUCUAUUCCACAGAUAGCUAUGGAUGUGUCAGGUAGAAUUGGUAGUGUUAUUGCAGGAGAGAAGGUAUGACAGAGAACAGGACCUUGUGCAUUUAGAACGUCUACAUUUUACAGGGCAUGAUGACAGGGAGAAAA